AGUGAACGCUGGCGGUAGACCUAACACAUGCAAGUCGAACGGCAGCACAGUAAGAGCUUGCUCUUACGGGUGGCGAGUGGCGGACGGGUGAGGAAUACAUCGGAAUCUGCUUUUUCGUGGGGGAUAACGUAGGGAAACUUACGCUAAUACCGCAUACGACCUACGGGUGAAAGCAGGGGAUCUUCGGACCUUGCGCGAUUGAAUGAGCCGAUGUCGGAUUAGCUAGUUGGCGGGGUAAAGGCCCACCAAGGCGACGAUCCGUAGCUGGUCUGAGAGGAUGAUCAGCCACACUGGAACUGGGACACGGUCCAGACUCCUACGGGAGGCAGCAGUGGGGAAUAUUGGACAAUGGGCGCAAGCCUGAUCCAGCCAUACCGCGUGGGUGAAGAAGGCCUUCGGGUUGUAAAGCCCUUUUGUUGGGAAAGAAAAGCAGCAGGUUAAUACCCCGCUGUUCUGACGGUACCCAAAGAAUAAGCACCGGCUAACUUCGUG
rnacentral:rRNA from 1 species